UGAAGUAGAUAUGUUAGUAUAUAGAAGGAAAAGAGAUACAAUAACAAGAUACUUAAGUGCUAUGGUGAGUGGCGCCUUGUCGGUGUCCUUGCUCGGUGGACUCGCACAGGUAGACUCGCUGGUCUUUACACAAGUAGGUCUUCACAUGAGGAGGGCUUUAAACGAGGGCUACCACUUCCGCUGUCACUUCCGCGUCAGCAUUCGAGUCAAAUACAUACGCGAUGAUAAUGAGCCGUUCAAUGAAAAAGGCAGGACAAGCCUUAAUGCUACUUAGCACAACAAAGCCAGUCACGUGGUCAGCCGAAACUAAGGGUCGCGUGAGGUGACAAGUGCGACUUCCGUGCACCGCAAAUAAAUUAUGCUGCACUUUAGCAAUAAAUAAUACCCUAAAACAAGUGAAGCACUGUUUAUAAACACUAAAAACCACGAUAGUUUUACACACACACUGGCCAAUCAACGCUAAAUCUAGCCGUGAGUAACCUGGGACCAGUCAAAAACAAUAUAGCACACACACACCAACCUUCGUAUAAGCGACGCGGGUUCAAGACAGUAAACAAACAGCACAAGUCUAGCAAUGAAUACCACUCUUCAACAAAGUAAAACAAUGAAAUAAACACACUUACACGCAACUGCAGACUCCUGUAGAUAGAUUGCUUAUCCAGCAAUCUAUCCAGUAAUAUUAAAUACUUUAUUAAUCCCCAAAGGUGAAAUUUCUUUGUUACAGUAGCACAUAAAUAUUAAAGUGCAGUUAUUAAGCAAAAUACAAUACAACAUACAUACAAUAACACUAUAUUAAAAAGAGUUAAAAUUACAAUUCAGAAUAGUGAAUUAAAAAUGCCAAUGGCAGUUGGCAGAACGGAUUUUCUGUGCCUUUCAGUGUGUCAUAUGUGUGACUUCGUGGGGAAAAUAUUGGAAUUCAGAGACAAUUUGCAUCCCAGAAUGGAAUUAUUUUUUUCCAGGACAGAUGGCCAAAAACGGGACGGUCCAGGAUGAGUGGCCACCCUAGCCUUGACCUUACUUAGAGGGGAUCAUACAUUUUAUUUAUUUAUUUAUUUUGGAACAUAUUUUAUUUAUUUAUUUUGGGAACACAUCUCCACAUUAAUAUUACAGAGCAGAGUUGGAUAAAAUUUCCCAUGCUGAUUGCACUAGUCCUGUAGGAGGCUGUAUACACCAAAGGUGGACCAUCCACCAUAAAAUACGGAAGAAGAAAAAGAAGAACAUUUUGUGAUCUGCAAUUCCGACACAUCAGUUCAUCGUCUUCUUCAGCACUUUUAUCAGUGAUUUGAAAUAGCUUCUUUUUCUGUUGUGUGGCGGCGAACUGCGUAUCUGUGUACAUAGGGUUGUAUUUGUAUGAUUGUGUACUCUGUGUUUCUUUUUUUAGGAAUUUCUUUAACUUGUAUUUUCCAAAAUGGCGUUUCGCAAGUGUGUAAACCUCUCCAAGUGAGAGAUUUAUCCCUUUCUCUGACGGACACGAAUGCUGUUAGGAAUGCAUGGGCCAGUCCCAUACUGAAGCCACGUUCUCUGAGACAGACUGUGUUCGUUGCGUGCGCUUGAAGCUUAAACCCCUUCGUUCCAGGCACGCUUUCUUUCAGAAAUAUGAUGGCAAUCUCUAUGCCUCCCGAUAUCCGACCUCUGCGACUCCCGAGGGACCGCACAAGACCAGGCCUACCAAGCCUACCUCUUGAAGCAUGGACGAGUCCGGUCCCGAACCAGAGUCCACCAAAGAGCUGUGACGCGCUGCGGAUUUGGCGCUCCGGGCCACCAAGAUCACUGUCUAGGCAAUGGGCAGGACUAUGGGUGGCCUAGUGGCCACAGAGCGACACCUCUGGCUGAAGUUGUCAGGGAUUUCCAACAAAGACAAGGCCUUUUUGCUUGAUGCUCCUGUGUCGCAGCAGGGUCUUUUCGGUGACGCCAUGAGUGUCUCCACCAAGAAGUUCCUGUUGUCUAAGAAGCAGUCGGCUGUCUACAGACACAUCCUGCCAAGGCGGGGUAGUGCCGUAGCGCAGCCGGUCCGCUCACGGUUCUAUUCAGGACAGAUGUGACUAUUUUCGUAAAUAUGUCCAUAUUUGAGAUCCCAACCGAGACAGAGGAGGAAAACCUGGAGCAUCGGCGCAUGUGGGAAGAGGGUCACAUUGAUUACAUGGGCAUAGAUGCCUUUGACAACAUCGAGAGGAAACUUGACAGAUUCCUUGAUUAACAGUGUAUGUGUAUUUUAUGAGUAGCCUAUAUAACACAUGAUCUCUCAUUUUUUUUUUUUUUGCACUGUAUGUUCAUCAUUUCAACAUUUUCACCACCUCAAAUAUAGCCAUUUUGUCUACCUCUGUAGUAUAUAUUUACAACCACCUGUUUUGAAAAUGUUUAAUUUGUCUCAAAUAUAUAAGUACAACCGUUGAAACAGAUUUCAUUAUUGAGUUCCUGUGUUAAAAAAGUACAUAGCAUAUUUGAUGCUAUCUGUAAUUUAGCCUCUGCAGUGAUCAUUUGUUUGCAGCUUUAAUAAAUCUUUAACUCUAAA